UGAGCCACCCAGGUACCUGGAACAACUGAAAUCCUAGCAAGACCUGAAGGUGCUUGCUUCUGAACCGACUGGUUUGAAGUUUCUUCAUUUUUCCAUCUUCAGGAUGAAUGGAAAUCUAAGCAGAAGGUGUAUUACCAAUCUGGUCCUUGGGAAGUUCACCACACUUCUAAAUGUUGCUGAAUGGUUCCUAUUUCAAAGGAUGCGUGUGUUGUUUACCCACAGAAGCUUAUGAUGAUGUCUGCCAGAAGUCUUU